UACGUAGGGGGUGAGCGUUGUCCGGAGUUACUGGGCGUAAAGCGCACGCAGGCGGUCUGCUAAGUUUGGAGUGACAGUUGGUGGCUUAACUGCCAAAGUGCUUCGAAAACUGACAGACUUGAGGGCUUCAGAGGGACACGGAAUUCCGGGUGGAGUGGUGAAAUGCGUAGAGAUCCGGAGGAACACCAAAGGCGAAGGCAGUGUCCUGGGGAGUACCUGACGCUCAGGUGCGAAAGCCAGGGGAGCGAACGGG
rnacentral:rRNA from 1 species